rnacentral:rRNA from 1 species
UACGUAGGGGGCAAGCGUUGUCCGGAUUUAUUGGGCGUAAAGAGCGUGUAGGCGGUCAGGUAGGUCCGUUGUGAAAACUGGAGGCUCAACCUCCAGCCUGCAGUGGGUACGGGCAAACUAGAGUGCGGUAGGGGGAGAUUGGAAUUCCUGGUGUAGCGGUGGAAUGCGCAGAUAUCAAGCGGAACACCGGUGGCGAAGGCGGCCUUCGUGGACAGUGACUGACGCUGAGACGCGAAAGCGUGGGGAGCAAACAGG